GGGGGCAUAGAGCAGUCGACCCUUCUGAGGAGGGGCUGCCCAGGAACCCUGGGUCAGAAUAAACAAACAGCAGAUGGGCAAGAAUUGGUGAGGAUGAGGCUCUUCCAUUCACUCCUGAAGUUCUGUUACUCUCCUCUAAUAUGACACAGCUGGAGUCACAUGGAUGGGUGGAAAUCAGAGGACAGCUGGACGACUUCUUUGUUUGUGGGGAUCAAAGUCAGAGCCAUAAACGUGAUCGCCAAAUGCUCUGCUGCCGAGCUACAUCUCCAGCUCCACAUGGCCCAAAGGUCAGCAUGUAACUGGAGGUGCUCCAUGGAAGCUUGCUAAAUGAACGAGGAGGCUGAGGGAAUUAUCUUCAGAGCUGGGGUGCAGAGUUGGGGCUGCAUUUUGGUCUCCAUGCAUACACACCUGGUGACCUUGAAGAUCCUGAGGAGACGCACACAUCGGAGCACUGAGAUGCCGAGGGGCUGCAUGGCCCCCACCUCCACCAACGUCGUUUCUAGGAUGCCCCCACAGACCACGAAACAGUCAAAGCGGUUGAAAAAAGAGGCAACGUAGACAGAGGGGCCCAGGCCGUACAGUUUGAGAAGCAUCUCCACGGUGAAGAGGCAGAGCAGAACCUUGUUGGCAUAUUCUGUUGGGGUGUGGCGCGGCAUAUGUUUAGGAAGCCAUGAACUCUGGUGGGAUCUUGGCGUUAGCUGGGAGCUGGUCAGGUGUGAGCUAGGCUUUGACUGGGGUUAGGGACUAAAGUGAGUUUGUAGGUCAAAACAAGCGAGAUCUGGAGCUGGGGCACAGGGUAGAGUUGAGGUGGGGGCCACAGUCCCCCUUUGUGAAUCCAAGACAAAUCUCUACUCAAUGGUACAGUUAGCAUCUAGGAUUUAUUCUUUUUAAUUUUUUUAAUGUUUAUGCCUUAUGUUUUUGGUUGUGGGGAUGGAAUCCAGGGCCUCACACAUGAACUCUUCCACUGAAAUACAGCUCCAGUUCCAAGCCUAUGGUUUCUUUGGGACUGAACUGGUUUGGAGUGGAGUUAGAGGCAGGACCAAUAAUAAAGAUUUACGUUUAUAAGGGUUUAAGAUUGUAAGGAAUCAUAACAGUUGAUCCUUGAGGUAGGCCAAACAAUAUUUAAGCAUUUUACAGCCGAGCUCAUUUAAUCCUCCCAACCACUCCAUGCCACGGUUAGUCACCAUUGCCUCCAUUUUGCACAUGGGGAAACUGAGGCACGGAGGGGUUAACUUGUCCAGAGACCACGAUGUUAAGAGCCUGGAUUCUACUUCCUGCUCUGACCCUCAGGAGCUGAAUCCUGCAGUUAGUUGCUUGACAUCAAUGCCAUGGUGAUCUGUACCCUCGACCUGAGCACCGAGGUACUAACUUUUUAGUGGAACCAAGUUUGAGUUUGGACAUGUGCGAUACUGAGACUAGAGCUUGAUACACAUAGCAGGUAGCACAUAAGUGUGGUUUGCACAGCGGUAUAGGACAAGUUAAGGUUUCUGUACUCCUCUGCAUUGGAAGGUGCUAUCUGGGAUCAAAGACUCCCUGGACAGCCUGCCUUUGAACUUCUAGGGUGAAGGGAGCAAGGGAUGAAGAGGAGAGCUGACAGGCAGAGACUCACCUUGGGUCUGGGUGAGCCACACUGGCUGCCCAUGGUGCUCAGAAGCGAUGGUCAACGUGUUGAGGAAGACGAGCAGCAAUACAGCCCAGUAGCAGGCAUUGGACUUGACUGCCCGGCGGCAGCGUGCACGGAGACCACGGUUGGCUCGGCGGAAGUGGCGGCUGGGCAGAGGAGAGCCCAUGGCAUCAUUGAGAUUGGCCUAUAUCAGCCCGGUGUGCUGGUUGGGGGUCCCAGGAGUCACAUGGGUCAUGGAGGUGGACUGGUCUCAAAUUCAUGGGGCCAAAAGGUUGCACAACUUUUCACAACUUACCAGACCUUGGUUUUCAUAAUCUUGUUUCUAGAAAUGAUUGAAAAGGGGCGGGGAGGGUGUCAUAAGCUGAGAGGGAAUCAGCAGCUAUGACUGGAGGUCAGGUGUUUGAAGCUGAAGUAAGAAUGGUGUCUGGGCUACGUAGGGAUCAAGGGCUGGGAUUCCUCACAGGCAGAGUGUACAGCUGGCCAUGGUCCCCUCCUCUUCAUCCUCAUCUCCGGGGGUGUCUGUUAUGGAACCAGUGUCACUGGCUGGAAGGCUGGCUUCAGGCAAAGUGAGGAUAGAGGUCAGGACCCAAAGACUUUAGGUGCUACUUUUGGUUUUCCCUGUCUACUUACCCCAGCUCUGCCCCACCCCUAGCUUAAUCCUCACCAUGACUGCUGGUGGAGUGUGUGGAGCGAGUGGAGUGGCUGAACCAACGCAGUCGUCCGCGCCUCCUAUUGGUCAGCUCUGACAGUUGUGGUCCUGUGGAGGGGGGGGGGGAUAGUUCCAACUGAGAAGGACGGCCUGGGGGCAGAAUUAGGGUCAAGUCUAAGGGAUAAGGAGCUAGUUGGAGCCUUUGUAUCUAAGUCUGGGUUGAGAGUCUGUGUCCUGAGCCAGAGUUGAGGCAAAGCCUCGGAUGGCUGCAGGCUUGGUCUGGGUCUCAGGAGGGCAAUCACAUCUGGGGUAGGAGUGAAGCUGGGCCAGAAUUGAGUUGCCUACGAUGGCCUGCCCGUCCCUCUUCAGCAAGAGAAGCCAAGUUGCCGUCUACUGAGGGGUCAUGAAGGUCCAACUCCUCAGCCUGUGUGAUCCAGUCCAGGUAGCCCCGAAGGUCCUCUUCCAUCUGCUGCUUCUCCCGAAGCUUCUGAAAGUCACCUCGGGCUUUUGCCUUUUCUCUUUCCUUGGAGAACUCCCUGGAGGAAGAGGGGAGCAGACUAUAUAAGGAAGUCAUCACCAGUAACCUUGCCUUUACUAGCCCAGCCACAAUAGCCGUCUAAUUGUUCUUUGGAGAAGCCAAGGACAUACCAGCUCCCAAGCCUUUGCGCCAGCUGUUCCUGUGACUUAGAAUACCAUCAACACUCUCUCAAGAGGUCCUUCCUGAUUUUUAAAAGAAUUACAUCCAUCUAUCUAU